rnacentral:rRNA from 1 species
AGAGUUUGAUCCUGGCUCAGGAUGAACGCUGGCGGCAUGCCUAAUACAUGCAAGUCGAACGGGGUGCUUGCACCCAGUGGCGAACGGGUGAGUAACACGUAUCUAAUCUACCCAUUAGCGGGGGAUAACAGUUGGAAACGACUGCUAAUACCGCAUAUAACAUUUUCUGGCAUCAGAGAAUGUUAAAAGGUCCGUUUGGAUCACUAAUGGAUGAGGGUGCGGCGUAUUAGUUAGUUGGUGGGAUAAUGGCCUACCAAGACAAUGAUACGUAGCCGAACUGAGAGGUUGAUUGGCCACAUCGGGACUGAGACACGGCCCGAACUCCUACGGGAGGCAGCAGUAGGGAAUUUUUCACAAUGGGCGAAAGCCUGAUGGAGCAAUGCCGCGUGACUGAAGACGGUCUUCGGAUUGUAAAGGUCUGUUGUAAGGGAAGAAUAGUAAGAAUAGGAAAUGAUACUUAUUUGACGGUACCUUACCAGAAAGCCACGGCUA